rnacentral:rRNA from 1 species
UACGAAGGGUGCAACCGUUGCUCGGAAUUAUUGGGCGUAAGGCGCACGUAGGCGGCUUAGCAAGUCGGAUGUGAAAUCCCUCGGCUCAACCAAGGAAGUGCAUCCGAAACUGCUGAGCUUGAGUACGAAAGAGGAUCGCGGAAUUCCCGGUGUAGAGGUGAAAUUCGUAGAUAUCGGGAGGAACACCAGUGGCGAAGGCGACUACCUGGCCUGUUUCUUGACGCUGAGGCGCGAAAGCUAGGGGAGCAAACGGG